rnacentral:piRNA from 1 species
UUACAAAUCAGACUUUGGCAUCGUGAUCA